CGGUGUGUAGCGCAGCUUGGUAGCGCACUGUCAUGGGGUGUCAGGGGUCGCAGGUUCAAAUCCUGCUAUGCCGACCA
rnacentral:tRNA from 1 species